GACGAACGCUGGCGGCGUGCUUAACACAUGCAAGUCGAACGGAAAGGCCCUGCUUUUGUGGGGUGCUCGAGUGGCGAACGGGUGAGUAACACGUGAGUAACCUGCCCUUGACUUUGGGAUAACUUCAGGAAACUGGGGCUAAUACCGGAUAGGAGCUCCUGCUGCAUGGUGGGGGUUGGAAAGUUUCGGCGGUUGGGGAUGGACUCGCGGCUUAUCAGCUUGUUGGUGGGGUAGUGGCUUACCAAGGCUUUGACGGGUAGCCGGCCUGAGAGGGGGACCGGCGACAUUGGGACUGAGAUACGGCCCAGACUCCUACGGGACGCAGCAGUGGGGAAUAUUGCACAAUGGGCGGAAGCCUGAUGCAGCAACGCCGCGUGCGGGAUGACGUCCUUCGGGGUGUAAACCGCUUUCGCCUGUGACGAAGCGUGAGUGACGGUAAUGGGUAAAGAAGCACCGGCUAACUACGUG
rnacentral:rRNA from 1 species